rnacentral:snoRNA from 2 species
CUCCUCUCAGGGUCACACCUGGAGAGUUUCCAGUACUCUACCAUCUUGACUAUGGGAGGGAGAGUUAAGCAGAGGCAUCUCCAUUCCAUUCUUAGCUUGCGCAGUGGCUAGCAAGUGGAAGACAAUCAGCUACAAGU